AUACGUAGGGGGCGAGCGUUGUCCGGAAUGACUGGGCGUAAAGGGCGUGUAGGCGGCGGAUUAAGUCUGGAGUGAAAGUCCUGCUUUCAAGGUGGGAAUUGCUUUGGAUACUGGUCGGCUUGAGUGCGGAAGAGGUAAGUGGAAUUCCCUGUGUAGCGGUGAAAUGCGCAGAGAUUGGGAGGAACACCAGUGGCGAAGGCGACUUACUGGGCCGUAACUGACGCUGAGGCGCGAAAGCGUGGGGAGCGAACAGGAUUAGAUACCCUGGUAGUCCACGCGGUAAACGAUGAAUGCUAGGUGUAGGGGGUAUCGACCCCUCCUGUGCCGGAGUAAACACAAUAAGCAUUCCGCCUGGGGAGUACGGCCGCAAGGUUGAAACUCAAAUGAAUUGACGGGG
rnacentral:rRNA from 1 species